rnacentral:rRNA from 1 species
UGCAAGUCGAGCGGGGGAAGGUAGCUUGCUACCGGACCUAGCGGCGGACGGGUGAGUAAUGCUUAGGAAUCUGCCUAUUAGUGGGGGACAACAUCUCGAAAGGGAUGCUAAUACCGCAUACGUCCUACGGGAGAAAGCAGGGGAUCUUCGGACCUUGCGCUAAUAGAUGAGCCUAAGUCGGAUUAGCUAGUUGGUGGGGUAAAGGCCUACCAAGGCGACGAUCUGUAGCGGGUCUGAGAGGAUGAUCCGCCACACUGGGACUGAGACACGGCCCAGACUCCUACGGGAGGCAGCAGUGGGGAAUAUUGGACAAUGGGGGGAACCCUGAUCCAGCCAUGCCGCGUGUGUGAAGAAGGCCUUAUGGUUGUAAAGCACUUUAAGCGAGGAGGAGGCUACUCUAGUUAAUACCUAGGGAUAGUGGACGUUACUCGCAGAAUAAGCACCGGCUAACUCUGUGCCAGCAGCCGCGGUAAUACAGAGGGUGCGAGCGUUAAUCGGAUUUACUGGGCGUAAAGCGUGCGUAGGCGGCUUAUUAAGUCGGAUGUGAAAUCCCCGAGCUUAACUUGGGAAUUGCAUUCGAUACUGGUGAGCUAGAGUAUGGGAGAGGAUGGUAGAAUUCCAGGUGUAGCGGUGAAAUGCGUAGAGAUCUGGAGGAAUACCGAUGGCGAAGGCAGCCAUCUGGCCUAAUACUGACGCUGAGGUACGAAAGCAUGGGGAGCAAACAGGAUUAGAUACCCUGGUAGUCCAUGCCGUAAACGAUGUCUACUAGCCGUUGGGGCCUUUGAGGCUUUAGUGGCGCAGCUAACGCGAUAAGUAGACCGCCUGGGGAGUACGGUCGCAAGACUAAAACUCAAAUGAAUUGACGGGGGCCCGCACAAGCGGUGGAGCCAUGUGGUUUAAUUCGAUGCAACGCGAAGAACCUUACCUGGCCUUGACAUACUAGAAACUUUCCAGAGAAUGGAUUGGUGCCUUCGGGAAUCUAGAUACAGGUGCUGCAUGGCUGUCGUCAGCUCGUGUCGUGAGAAUGUUGGGGUUAAGUCCCGCAACGAGCGCAACCCUUUUUCCUUACUUGCCAGCAUUUCCGGAUGGGAACUUUUAAGGAUACUGCCAGUGACAAACUGGGAGGAAGGCCGGGGACGACGUCAAGUCAUCAUUGCCCUUACGGCCA